rnacentral:rRNA from 1 species
AGCAGCCGCGGUAAUUCCAGCUCCAAUAGCGUAUAUUAAAGUUGUUGCAGUUAAAAAGCUCGUAGUUGAAUUUCGGGGUUAGCAGGUCGGUCGUGCCACUGGUAUGAACUGGUUUUACUGAUUCCUCCCUCUUGAAGAACUGUAAUGCCAUUAAUUUGGUGUUGCAGGGAAUCAGGACUGUUACUUUGAAAAAUUAGAGUGUUUAAAGCAGGCUUUAGCUUGAAUACAUUAGCAUGGAAUAAUGAAAUAGGACGUUUGAUCCUAUUUUGUUGGUUUCUAGGAUUGACGUAAUGAUCAAUAGGGGUAUUGGGGGCAUUAGUAUUCAAUUGUCAGAGGUGAAAUUCUUGGAUUUAUUGAAGACUAACUACUGCGAAAGCAUUUGCCAAGGAUGUUUUCAUUAAUCAAGAACGAAAGUUAGGGGAUCGAAGACGAUCAGAUACCGUCGUAGUCUUAACCAUAGACUAUGCCGACUAGGGAUCGGAUGAUGUUAAUUUUUAAUGUACUCAUUCGGCGCCUUAAC